UCUGUAGGCUGAUGAAGGUGCAUUGAGAAGUGUGCUGGAGGUAUCAGAAGUGCGAAUGCUGACAUGAGUAACGAUAAUGUGGGUGAAAAGCCCACACGCCGGAAGUCCCAGGUUUCCUGCACGACGUUAAUCGGAGCAGGGUGAGUCGGCCCCUAAGGCGAGGCUGAAGAGCGUAGUCGAUGGGAACCAGGUUAAUAUUCCUGGACUUUUUAUAAGUGGUGAAGUGGGGACGAAGAAGGCUAGGUGAGCCAGGCGUUGGUUGUCCUGGUACUUGCAUGUAGGGGGGAAGACUUGGCAAAUCCGGUUUUCCAUAACUCUGAGGUGCGAAGUGGUUCUGACCUUUUGGUACAGAGAAGUCAUUGAUGCCCGGCUUCCAGGAAAAGCUGCUAGCCAUAACUUAUAGAGAACCGUACCGCAAACCGACACAGGUGGACAGGUAGAGAAUACUAAGGCGCUUGAGAGAACUCGGGUGAAGGAACUAGGCAAAAUGG
rnacentral:rRNA from 1 species